AUACAGAGCUUGUAUUAAAGCCACAAGUUUGGCUUUGUGGGCUGAAGUCCCUUUAGGGAGGCUGCUGGCCUAGAUCACUUGCUUUCUGUCCAUCACUGCACUGCUGUCCCCGCCUUCCGCUUACCCUCAACCUCCAGGCUACUGCCAUCCGUGUACCAGCUCAAACUCUCAGGCCAAGGCUGAUCUGAUCCUUCAGAUCAUUUCGAGUAUGAGUUCCUUCUGCCAGAAUGUCAGCACAAUGAUGAGUAGGUGAAGUCUCAGGCAGUAGUGAGAUCGAGGAUAGCAGGGGGAGCGAAGGUCACUCGUUCAGUCAACAAAAAGCUCUGACAAUGUGUCCAUCCGUCAGGGGAACAGUUGGAUAAUGCUUUCAAGAGCGUUAGUCAGCCAUCGGUCAUGGGGGCUGAACCACACUUUCUAGGACAUGUGCCAAGUUUUGUCUCAGAGUCAAUUUAUCUGCGUCCUUGACCAGAAGCCACUAUGUGCAGACAAGCAGGCCAUCUUACAGCCACCAGGUCUAAUUUCUUACAAGUAUGCCACAGGUCUUUUUCAGGGUCCCAAUCUCUGAGUAAGAACUUCUUUGGCAAUACCUUUGUUCUCAGUCACAUCUAGGAGUCCCAAAGUUGGGGACAACAUUAGGGCAGUCUCAAGAGCAUCCAAGGCCAUCUAAGAUUGUUCUUUAUUUUUCUAUACGAAGGGCUGUUUAUCUCUUUAACUCAGCAAAACCUGGAAUCCACAAUCUGCAAAAGCCCGCAGUGCCCAGGAACUUUUUAGCUUGUUUUGCACUGGUCGGUGGAGGAGUUAUACACGUUGAUCUUUAGCCAAAAGCUUUCUUUUGUUGCCAGGUACUAUCUAAGUUUUCUAAUUUUCCUGACUUUUGUGACCAGCAUUUUACUUCUCUUAUCUAUCUGUCUCACAGCACAGCUCUGAUUCUGACUCUGAUCUCUGUCUUUGUCUUAACUUCCUGUUACCUUGGUCAGAUUGUUGGGACACUUUCUAGUCCCACAGAGACGAGACCCCCAUCAGAGCCUGGCAGUUAGAUUCACAGGUGCUCCUUACCUUGGACAGAAGCCCCAAGUGGGUGGAUGCCUCCCUCACUGGAACUUGGAACAGACUCACUGCCAGCAACUCAGGGUGGUGCCACCCUCUGAGAAGAGGGAACUUUAGAGCAGAGACGGGAGUGCAGCUCUCACAGCUGGCUGCAACCGGCACUUAUCUUAAAGUGAAAGCAGUUUUUCUGUUAACAAGAGACGGGAUGGGAGGGACAGGGGAAUGAGAAGCUGCCUGGGAACCUGCAGCGCUCUUGGCCGCUACUCGAACAGCCUCCUCUUCUUUUUUUUUUUUUUUCAGCAGCCACAACAUCCAGGGCCACUGACUUCUCAGGGACCACUCCUCAUUUGCUCCGGAUUUCCGAGCUCAUUUUUCCCUAGGCUCCAGGUCCAUGGGCGGGACCACUGUGACCCGCUGGCUGCUCUCUGGAGUUGGAGUGGGAGGCAGGGCAGCUGUUGAUCUGAAAGGAAGUGGUCAGCAUAGGGAUCUGACAGGAUUUUUAGGCUUAUUUCAGAAGGCAUAACUAAAAAACAGUCGUCAGUCAUCAGUCCAAGUCCGAACACAAAGAGACACACAAGACACACACAGAAACCGUUUUUCAGGCAACCACUAUAGAAUCACAGUACCACAGAAAUGACAAACACAAGCAAGACCAAUACAGGGCAUCUUACAUGCGAUUUCCAGAGAAGCUUA
rnacentral:lncRNA from 1 species